rnacentral:rRNA from 4 species
GCCAAGCCGUAAAAAAUCAACUCACACCAACCAGCGCCAGGGAAUUACGAGUAAGACUUAAAACCCAAAGGACUUGACGGUGUCCUACCCCCUACUAGAGGAGCCUGUUCUAUAAUCGAUAAUCCACGUUAUACCCAACCAUCACUUGCUUAUCAGCCUGUAUACCUCCGUCGCAAGCUUACCAUAUGAACGCAUAACAGUAGGCCCAAGGACUUAGCGCCACAACGUCAGGUCAAGGUGCAGCUUAUGAGAUGGAAAGCAAUGGGCUACAAUUUCUAAAUUAGAACAAACGAAAAACUACAUGAAACAUAGACAUGAAGGUGGAUUUAGUAGUAAAUAAGGAAUAGAGAGCCUUAUUAAACUUGGCCCUGGGACGUGUACACACCGCCCGUCACC